rnacentral:rRNA from 1 species
CCCUUAGACGUUCUGGGCCGCACGCGCGCUACACUGACACAGGCAACGAGCUUUCCUUUACCGAAAGGUAUGGGUAAUCUUUUGAAACUGUGUCGUGCUGGGGAUAGAUCCUUGCAAUUUUUGAUCUUAAACGAGGAAUUCCUGGUAAGCGCGAGUCAUCAACUCGCGUUGAUUACGUCCCUGCCCUUUGUACACACCGCCCGUCGCUACUACCGAUUGAAUGGCUUAGUGAGGCCUCAGGAUCCGCGCUUAAUGUGUGGAGAAUUUGGACAAACUACGUCAUUUAGAGGAAGUAAAAGUCGUAACA